rnacentral:tRNA from 1 species
CCGAGAAGAGUGAAGAAACACAGAGACUGCUAAUUAUCUG